GCAAAUGUUAACACGUUUGGCUGCUAACCGAAAGGUGGUGGUUUAAGUCCACCCAGAUGCA
rnacentral:tRNA from 1 species